ACGGGCCGGCCUUUUUCUCCUAUUCCCUUCUCCUUCUCCGCUUCCUUCUUCGCUCUAUUCUGUUUCUUUCUUUAUCGUCUCCCUUCCUCGCUUCCUUCUUCUCUCUUUCUUCGCUAUCCACCGGCCGGCGUUUCCUCUUCGCGGAAUUGGUUGUCGCCAUGGAUGCCCAAGGCCAAAAUGUUCCUGUACGGUCCAGUGCGACUUUCCAGUCACGGUUUUCUACUCUUCGUUGGGCCAAAGCUGUUGAUAAGAUGUCUCCUUUUUAGAGAAGCUUUAUGUCAGACUAAUUCAAACAUCUUCUGAAUGUGCGCGCACAUGUGAUUGUGCCCAUGGAUUUGCUGCAAUGGUUAGCAAAACAUAUGCGCUAUGGUUAAGUAGGCAUUUUCGAGCACAACAACAAAGUCAUUCAUAUCACCCGAGAUAUGGUUGACAUAUGCACUAUGGAAGAACAAUAUGGUCCGGUUGGCUACCUGAGUCUAGAAUUAGAGUAGAUCGAGUGAAAUUUGAAAGCAAAACCUGUCAAUCUGAACACUGGUUGGUGCUUGGAUGUGUUUCGUUCUCACAAAUUUGGCAGUUCUCAUGUGAUGAUGUUCUUCCAUAGUUAGUGAAGUUUGGUCCCCAAAUAGUAUGUGCAAGGUGAUUCAUAGUGUUAUUUGGUUAAGCAAUUUUCCUUAUUCCGCAUGGGUGCUAUUUUUUCAAUCAUUCUCAAUCUGAACAUGAUAUAUGUCUUCCAUAUGCAGUGAAGUUUGGUCCCAUAUUUUUAUGAGAAAAGGUGACAGAGUGAUGUUUCCUUUUGUGCUAGGGAUUCCGCAUAUUCAAAUGAAUCUCAUGAGGAACAUAUUUUCCUUGGAAAUACAGUAGUGGUGCACAGAGACAUGGAUGAACAGAUGUACAAGUGGACAAGAAUUACAAAUGCAAAGAGAGCCAACAAAUAUAUGCCCACUCGUGAAACUACUUUUUUCUUUGAGAACAUUUAUUCCAUUUUGUAGCAAAUUGUGCCAAAACAAUGCUUUUGCUGAUUCUUUUUGUCUCUGAAUAUUGUUCAACACAAGAAUUUACCCUUCACUUUAUUCUUUAAUUAUAUAUA